UUGUACUGAAAACUAAAUGUUUGAAGUGUUCCGUUUUGCUAAAUAUUGUUGAUUUUUGGAAUCAGGAGCGUAGGAUCAUUAUCAGGCAAAAACGCUGAUAUUGGAUUGACCAUCUCUGUUGAACAGAGCGCUAAAAGUAGCAAAUCGGACUCUUUGCUCUCGAUACGAGGUUGAACUGAGUUGUAUUAGGGCCGGAAUAGCUAGGGUCACUGAUUUGUAAGUUCUAACCUAUAAAACCAUUUUGAACCAUGUUUGUAACAACUUAUCAUUUGUUCC